AUGCAGUCGAGCGGCAGCGGGAAAGUAGCUUGCUACUUUUGCCGGCGAGCGGCGGACGGGUGAGUAAUGCCUGGGGAUCUGCCCAGUCGAGGGGGAUAACUACUGGAAACGGUAGCUAAUACCGCAUACGCCCUACGGGGGAAAGCAGGGGACCUUCGGGCCUUGCGCGAUUGGAUGAACCCAGGUGGGAUUAGCUAGUUGGUGAGGUAAUGGCUCACCAAGGCGACGAUCCCUAGCUGGUCUGAGAGGAUGAUCAGCCACACUGGAACUGAGACACGGUCCAGACUCCUACGGGAGGCAGCAGUGGGGAAUAUUGCACAAUGGGGGAAACCCUGAUGCAGCCAUGCCGCGUGUGUGAAGAAGGCCUUCGGGUUGUAAAGCACUUUCAGCGAGGAGGAAAGGUUGGUAGCUAAUAACUGCCAGCUGUGACGUUACUCGCAGAAGAAGCACCGGCUAACUCCGUGCCAGCAGCCGCGGUAAUACGGAGGGAGCACGCGUUAAUCGGAAUUACUGGGCGUAAAGCGCACGCAGGCCGCUGGAUAAGUUAGAUGUGAAAGCCCCGGGCUCAACCUGAGAAUUGCAUAUGAAACCGUCGAGCUAGAGUCUUAUGGAGGGGGGUAGAAUUCCAGGUGUAGCGGUGAAAUGCGUAGAGAUUUGGACGAAUACAGGUGGAG
rnacentral:rRNA from 1 species